ACGGAGGGUGCAAGCGUUGUACGGAAACAUUGGGAAUAAAGAGUUCGUAGGUGGUUUAUUAAGUCUGGUGUUAAAGGCCGAAGCUCAACUUCGGUAAGGCACUGGAUACUGGUAGACUUGAAUGCGGUAGAGGUAAAGGGAAUUCCUGGUGUAGCGGUGAAAUGCGUAUAUAUCAGGAGGAACAUCGAUGGCGUAAGCGCUUUACUGGUCCGUAAUUGACUCUGAGGAACUAAAGCCGGGGUAGCAAAUUG
rnacentral:rRNA from 1 species